rnacentral:lncRNA from 1 species
UCUUCCGUUGGUUGUUCCCUAAUUUCAUUUUUGUUUUCCUUUGAAGGUUCUUCUUGGAUUUUCCUCUUUCAAGCUAUCCAAGAUACCUGCAAGAUCAAAACCGGAUUCCUUUCUCGCCAAGUGAGUAUUAUCUUCGUAAAACACAACAUGAGGGGAUUCCUCCACAAUUUGGGUUCUUUUGUUAAAGAUCCUAUAUGCUU